GGAAGCUUUCGGAUCGGCGUGGAGGCCGGGCGCAGUGCAGUUUUUCUCGUUGGCUGGCGGAUCGUCGACGCGGACGAACAGUAGCAAUGCUGGAAAUGCGGUUGAAUCAGGUUUUGGAGGUUAACAUGGAUAUGCGAGAAAUCAAGUCAGAGAGGAAGAGAAAGAUAUGAGAAGAAAGAGGCGACUCAUUAGUAAAUCUAGCUGACAGGUUUUACAAGGAAAUAUACGAUAACGAUGUCCAUAAAGAUUAAACUAUGGCAGAAAAUCAUUCUUACAAAAGUAUUUUACUUCGAUUUGAUCUCUGCAGUACUGUCGCGUAUUCACAAACAGCAAUGGAUGUAUCGAAAAAAAGGACACGUGAAAUAACUUGUGGCGAACUAUUGCUGGCGUGUGGACGUGGCAUCAUGGAACAUGCGAUCGGAGAUUUUUCUUCUUUUUUGUUACGGGACAAGCAUGAAUUCCCCAAGGUACGCCGAUAACCGUAUUAUCGUGCUCGAACGUUUGACGUCCACGUGCACGUGUCUAUCAUCGUUUCGUGUCUGAAGCGAACUUCGCGUUCGACGGCUCGGCCUCGGAAAAAAUUCGUUGACUUCAAACCUCGAUCGCAUCGAUACACGAAUUUCGAAGUAAAGAAGAUCCUCUGUGCCUAUAUACCUGAAUACGUAUUUUACUAAAUUAUUAAGCUUAUUUGUACAAUACAAAUAUUUUCCCUAUAUUUCCUUUCUUUCUUUUUCUAUUUAUUUUUUUUAAUAUACAAGUACAAUAUAUAAUGGAAACUGCACUUCACUGUUUUCAUAGUUCAAUAGAUAGUAAAUCAAUAACAGCGAACAACACGGAACAUUUCCAAAAGUUUCAAACAUUUUCGAUGUUCACUUUUUGAAUUAAAAAAAUUAAAGGUAUACUUAUAAAACUAAAAAAUUGAAGACAUUUUUUAAAUACAUGCCUUUAAUGAUAGUAGUAUUCCGAAGACGCUUGUUUUCGAAGAGUAAGCAUUCAACAGAACGUCAAAAAAUGAGAAUGAAGAAAAACAGAAAUCAAAAAAUAAAAUUCACGUGCUUAAAAACAUCGGGGCGAGCUUUCUGCCCCACAAGAGGGAAAACUUUGAAAGAUUUUCUAAGCGUCUGGUAUGCGAAGUCGCGUGUCUUUUACGACUUCUCAAAGUUUUCCGGGAACCAAUACAAAGCCGGCAGGAAUGCGAAGGGAGCAGUUCUUAGAGAAUUAUUGCCGCUAGAUGCACACGAUGCAGAUACACACAACCGAUAAUCGCAAUAACGUUAAGACCAAUGAUAAUGACGCCAAUUUCAUUUUCCCGGAGUCAGCUUGCGUCAGUAUUUCCACCGUUAUUUUAAAAGUGUGAUUGCCAUGCGACUUUUUCCGGCUUCCAACAUUUAAAUGACAUCUGCAGGCAGUUUUUAUCCUCUUGAUAAAUAGACGCUUAAUCGAAUAGUAAUAAGUAACAAAUAAAAAUAAUCUUUAUCACUGAAUGAUUUAAUAAACUGUACAGAUACAAAUUUAAUGGUCGAAAAUAAUAUUAUUGUGUUUAAACAUCAAAAUUUUAGUUUACAUUAGAAAUUGUUUAUUAUUUAUAUUAACAUAAUAAUUACUUUUUUACUAAUGUUUCGUGGAGAAUCAAUUUUAUAUCAUUUAUUAUUCGUAAUAGUUCUUUGUUACGAUGAUCAUAUUUUCUGGAGAAAAAUAGGGGACAAAAAUAAAAACUUAACUUUCUUGUAUAAUAUUCCUAAAUGAGAAACACAGUAAUUCUACAACUUCAAACUGUUUCGAUUGUAUUUUAAUUGGUUCAGUUAGAACUGUUCCAAUUAGUACAAACAUGAAAUAGAUUAAAAAUAAUAAGAUAAGAAGCGACGUAAUGUGAAUAAUUUCUAUUAAAAAAAUAUAAAAAAUGUAAUGAAUAUAAAACGAAAUAGAUUAAAUAUUUGCGUAGA